UACGGAGGGUGCGAGCGUUGUCCGGAAUCAUUGGGCGUAAAGGGCGCGUAGGUGGCUCAGUAAGUCGGAUGUGAAAACUCGGGGCUCAACCCCGAGACGCCAUCCGAUACUGCUGUGGCUUGAGUCUGGUAGGGGAACACGGAAUUCCUGGUGUAGCGGUGAAAUGCGCAGAUAUCAGGAGGAACACCGAUGGCGAAGGCAGUGUUCUGGGCCAGUACUGACGCUGAGGAGCGAAAGCGUGGGUAGCAAACAGG
rnacentral:rRNA from 1 species